AAGAUAAAUAAAGGUAAAAGGUCUCCCUGUUUCAAAUUUCCUUCUCUCUCGCUUUCUUCGAUGUUCUUUCUCUUGUCAAUUCCGUCUCUCUGCGAAUCCUUUUGAAACAUCUGCCGCAAUUUGAAUCGCAAUCAGCACAUCGAGGGACAAGUGUGAGAGAGGAGCGUUGUGUCGGUUCAUUGUUGGGUAUGCUGGUUCAGAGGAGAGUGAUGAUAAGCUGGAGGAGAGUGGGCAAGUCACUUCACGCACUUGCUGCCCAUUCCUUGCUCUUCUCCUUCACGAUUUUUCUUGCUCUCAAGCUACAACUCAUCGCCAAGUUCUACUCCUGGUGGAUUGUAUUUGCACCAUUAUGGCUAUUUCAUGCGGUUGUGGCACGAAACAGAUUUUCAUUGCCUGCUCCAGCAAUGCCUCAUGGUCGCGAAUGGGCGCCAUUUCACACUGUCAUGGCAACACCGUUGUUUGUCGCUUUUGAACUACUCCUUUGUAUACACCUUGAAAGACAAUAUGUUGUGAACUUGAAGAUUGUGUUUGUGCCCAUCUUGACAUUUGAAACAGCCAUAUUGAUUGAUAAUAUCAGGAUGUGUCGGGCUUUGAUCCCCGGAGAUGAUGAAAGAAUGAGUGAUGAAGCGAUAUGGGAGACCCUUCCUCACUUUUGGGUUGCAAUUUCAAUGGUCUUUUUCAUAGCUGCAACAACAUUCACUCUAUUGAAGUUAUGCGGUGAUGUUGCAGCUCUGGGUUGGUGGGACUUAUUUAUAAAUUUUGGUAUUGCGGAGUGCUUUGCCUUCCUUGUUUGCACAAAAUGGUACAAUCCUGCUAUUCAUAGGCAUUCACAUAUUGGAGAAUCUAGCUCAAAUUCAGUAACUAUUCAAUAUCUUGAUUGGAAUAGAGGGUUAGUAGUUACUUCCGAAGAAGAUCAGGACCAAAGCAGGAUAUGCAAUUUGCAGGAUAUUGGUGGACAUAUCAUGAAAAUUCCUUUUAUUAUUUUUCAAAUACUCCUUUUCAUGCACCUAGAGGGAACACCACCUAGUGCUAGAGAUAUCUCAUUUCCAGUUUUAUUUGUUCCGCUUUUUCUGCUACAAGGAGCUGGCGUUCUGUUUGCUGCAUAUAGAUUGGUGGAGAAAUUUUUUCUUUUGGAUAAUAUUGGAGCUUUUUCGGGAAGAUACUUUGCUUUAUCAUCAAAGGCUAUAGAUUGCUUUGGGUUCUUGCACCAUGGAUCGAGGUUACUGGGAUGGUGGUCAAUUGAUGAAGGAAGUCGAGAAGAGCAGGCCAGACUUUAUUGUACUGGAGUUUCUGGGUACGAUACUUUUGCACCUGAUACUGUGAAGAAAAUGCCUAAAUCGGAUCUUGUUGAGGAGAUUUGGAGACUACGGACUGCCCUUAGUGAGCAAACAACAAUUACAAUGUUUAGCCACCAGGAGUACGAAAGGCUACACAAUGUAAUAUCAAGAAAAAGCUCAGCUUUGUUGUUUUCAAUUCUUGCACUAAAUCUUGUUUCAAAGAAUCUAUCAAACUUUAUUAACCUCAUUAUCUAAUAAAUCUGUUAGGAAAAGAUCCUGUGCAGAGUUUGCUUCGAAGAACAUAUCAAUGUAGUCCUGCUUCCAUGCAGACAUCACGCCCUAUGCAGAUAAGAAGAUGAGUCCCCGGCAACUUUAGUGAAAUUUUACCCAUUCCAGUGCUAGCAUAAAGCAUCUUCACUGCGAUGAAGAUGCUUCGCGAACUAAUAAUUAAGGUUUCUCUACUGACAAACCUUUUUGGUGGAUGCGCAGCACUUGCUGCGAGAAGUGUAAGAAGUGCCCAAUGUGCCGCAUUCCCAUUGAAGAAAGAUUGGCUGUAUACGAUGUGUAGCUUCCCCUUUUAUUGGAAAGUACAGGUAUAUAUAUUCUUCUCCUUCAAAAUAUUAUUCAACCAUUGCUUGUGAUUUUUGGAAGCAAGCUCUGUGAAACUCUCUGUUAUGGUAGCUCCCAUCAUUUAAGAUGCAGUGUGGGCCCAUUUGAACAACUGUAAAUAUCUUUCUGGAUAAUUUGAAGAACUGUAAAUAUAUUUCUGCAUAA